CUCAUAGAUGGAUGUACUCACCCCAGGGAUACAUACGUACAAAUGCGCACACUCAAGACACACAAGGACAUAACAUACUGAUGAAUCCAUGCCGGGAGUAUUUAAUAUCAAGGAUACAUAGGUAGACAUUCAGCUUUGUCUGUAUUGCUUUAAAUUUCACCUUGUUGCACAUGUAAGUUACAGCAGCCUUUAGUUAACUGACCAAGUACUCUGUUUUACCACUGUGAUUCAACAGUGCUGAAUAGGGGUGUUCACUUAAUGAGCAGCGUUCAGCUGUUGGUCAGUGUGUGUUCAGUGCAUACUUGCUACUCACUGUUCAGCCUCUGCAGGUAGGUGCAGUCUUUUUCUCCUGAGCUUUUCCCAUAUAUUUUUUCAAGAGAGUAAGUACAUAAGCCUUCCAAAAUCUGAACUCAUUUUCCUAACACCCAAGCCAGAGAAAGUUUCAUUACCGAAGCUUACUUGUUAAUACCAAAAAUAUCUGUUAAUCUUGGAUGCCCUUUCUGAGAUACCAAGGACUGCAUUUUUUUUCCAAGUAACUGGUAUUAGACACCAAGAACAAGAAGCAGUUUUUAUCACUGUCAGUGGUAGCUGGGAGUUGUUUUGCUUAUAUAUGUUUUAAGCUGCAGACUUUCAAGUCAGGUGUCUAUCAAAUGCAGAGCUUACAAAUAAUGAUCAACCAUGAAAAAUCUAAAGGAUUUAAUUAGCAGCCUAGAGAGUUAAUAGUGAAAGCCAGGAUAGAAGGUAAUUCCCUCCUCCCUCCAGAGCAACGUUCACUUUCUUAUCCAUGAGAUGAGCUCUCUUUAAUUCCUUGCCUCACUGCUGCACCUCCUAACCUUAGCAAAAAUAAGUCAUGGUCUUUUGACAACAGUUUUGUUCUAUGGUCCCACGUCAUCCUUAAAGGUGAUCCAUAGUUACAGCAAGAUAGGCAUGCGUUUUUAGUUUCUUAUUCAGUGCGCUGUCCUUUCUCAAAAGGGACACCAGAGCAGGGUGCCCAGUCCCAUGUCCACGUGUCUUUUUAAGAUCUCCAAGGAGAUCCCACAGCCUCUGGGCAGCCUGUGCCAGUGCUCCAUCACUCACACAGCACAGAAGUGAUCCCAGUGUUCAGAGGGAACUUCCUGUGCUCCACCUGUGCGCAUUGCCUCUCGUCCUCAUUGCUUUGGUCAAACACUGUUGGCUUUUCUGUCCCUGUGCUGUCUUGGGGCUGUUGCUUUGCUCCCCUUCUCCCGUGGUCCCCAUCAGUCCUCCUCAUCCCUUCUUCAUGCCCUGCUUACCUGCAGGAGGUGGUAUGGCUCCUGCCUGUGCUUCUCCCCAGUGCUUCUAAGCUUUGGCCUUCAAAAGAUAUGUCCUGGUAGUGGUGGCAGGCAAAGUAAAGUUCCACAUGGUGAGAAUGUUUGAGAUAUAUCAAAUGGCAGCUGGCUCUAGAAAAUGCUGAUGGUAGCAAAGAGUAUACACAUUGCACUCUCUCUAAGGAAUUGAAAUCCAGAGAGAAGACGGAAAGUAAAGGAGAAGGAGGAAUAGAAGUCUGAGAUGUUUCUCCGUGAGUCUGUCUGUGCCACUGCUUUUGCAUAGGUUGUGGCAAGUAGUCCUGGACUUAUGUGUACAGCAGCAAUUAGAGGGAAGCUGAAUGGAGUGAGCACGUACAUGUCUGCAGUGGGUUAAGAGAGGCCAUAUGCUGUGCAGUGUUUUCAUGAGUGCUUUCCUCUUCUAAGUGAACUGCAUCUGCUGCACGUGUAGUAAUUAAAUUUGAAAUAGAAGAGUCAAAAUAUUCCUGCUGCAAGGUUGUUGAUGAAUAAGGCUUAACAAUCUGAUUAUAUACAUGUAUACAUUUAUGUGUGUACAUGAAAAAUAAAAUCACUACUCUGAUUUGUUUAUGCUAGUAGAAAAUAGACCCAUUUACACUCCAUUGUUAAUGUGAGUUAUUGACGUGGCAAGUUUAUUUUAGACAUGUGAAGAUCCAGGGGAGUGUAAUUCUGAUAGCAACGUUAAUUUGUCUUCUCGGUGCUGGAAAGAAAAAAAAACAACACAAAAAACUUGCAAAGCUUUUUUUUUUUUUUUUUUUACCUGCAGGGGUUCUGAAAGAGCAGCUGUCACUUUUUUUAGCCUUAGUUAAUAUUUGCCAUCAUUUUGCAUCCUGCUCUCGAUGCUACAGCUAUGCUGGGGGAAAAGGAAGCUCUCCACCUGCUCCAAGUCCAGAACAAAGUGCUUAAUCUUGAAGACAAGCACUGAGAGCAAAAGAGAGUUACUCUGUAUGAAGCUAGUUGUUCUGCCACAGAAACGAUGGCAGUGGAUUUCUGUCUCUAGUCUACUGUAGCUAAUACUGAUUUCUGUAAGUUGAUGGAGCAUGCAGUACCCUAUUACCAAAUGCCAUCACAGACAUGUUUUGCAACCAUUACCAUGCCACAGUGGCACAGUGAGUGCUGUGCUCUGAAGUGUUAUGAAGGCCCUCAGGCAGCCUGAAUGUAAAAACAUUCUCUGAAGAAUUAUGGAGACAACUAUCAUCAUCCGAGGGGGAAUUGUAAUUUGAAAUAAUCUUUAUCCUCAAAUGAAAUCUGUCAUUUGGGUCAUUGCUGCUGUAGAAUGAUUAUUUUUUCUCCUACGUAAGCAAGAAUAGUUGAGACCUAUUCUUAGCAGUUAAUCAUAUCUCAUAAGCCAUUUAAUAGCUCACUAAGCCUGCUUCAUGAGUUCUAUAUUGCUCAUUAUAAGAUGGGGCUUUGGGAAACCUCUUGGAAGGCGUCCCAGUCCCAGAGGGUUGAAACAAGUUAAGGUUCCUUCAACCCAAACCAUUCUAUGAUUCCUAUAAAUACGUGGAUUAUAAAGAAGGGCCCCAGCAUCUGCCUUUUCACCAGUGUAAAGACCAAGAGAUCCAAAAAAAUGUAUCAGAGUUCCCAGCUGCAUGCCUAUGGUUGCAUCAAAGGCUGCUGUUAGGGUGGAAUUGUGUACCAUCUCCUCUUAUGCACUGCUUUUGGGGCUGGGUGAAGCAGCAGCAUGCAGCAAGGUGCUCCAACACUCACCGCCUGCUUCCUCAAGCACACCAAUCCCUCUUCCUGUUUUUCAUGUUUGCUGUGAGCAGGUAAGUGUGCUGAACGUGCAAUUUAACAAUACCAUUCUCUCAUGCCUGAGCUACCGGGUGGGUACAGUCACUCCUUGUUUAGGUUUCCUGCAGGAGACUUUUGGCAGCUCAUCUUCCAGAAGACGCUGUUUGUCUUGGUGCCAGCUUAAACACAUUGGAUGGCUUUGAAUCUUUUAUAAAGGUGAUUCUCUAAGUAAAAGCUUUGCUUUAAGGUGUCCAACUACCCACAGAAACCUAACAAUAAUAAAUUCCCUCCUGUGCAGCAAUAGAGCUGUUCUCCCUCUCGGAGUGCACGAACUUGCUGCAUUGCUUUUUCUUUGGACCUUUCCUGUUGGCAGGAGGGAGACUGGAGAUGUUCAAGCACUUUUGGGACAUACAUGAGAGCUGAACCCCAAAUUCCUGAGUCCUAAUGGAAACAAUAGAACCCCAAUGAAAAGAGGUUGAAGCCUUUCAUUACACACCCAAUUCUUUUUUUUUUUUUUUUUUGAAAGCACAUAAAAAUCAUGCAAACUUGGGAAAAGUGCCUUUCUCUGAGAACAUGAGCAAUCCCAUUGAUUUCAACAAGAGACAGAGCACAGCUGGAGCUGAGAUGAAGCCGUCAGUUUCCUGCUAGGCUGUGUCUAGCUGGCACAGAUGCAGUUAAACAAAUUGCUAAAUCUGCAUUAGAAAGACAUUUCCCUGUGGAUCAGGUGGGUUAGGAUGGUUGGUUCUUUUGUUGGCUACCCACUGUUAUGGGUGCUGCAAGCAGUCAUUAAACAUAUUCACCCCACAAAUUCUCAUGCCUGCUAUAGUUUUUAUGGCUUUGCAGUUUUGUGCAGAGUAUUCAGGCUGCAGUUGUUACUAGAGCUUGUUGAAAAAAUAUGGCAUGUAAUAAUGAAGUAAAAAGUAAAAUGGAUUUCCUUUCUGGGUGUCUUUAGCCCGAAUACACAUUAGGUAUUCUCUUAAGCUCACUGAGAGAAUAGUCUGAUGAACGAGGCAUGGUGAGGGGGUCUGGAGGCUUAGAUUUAAUGUGCAGGCCUAGCUGAGUUUUCCUCUGCAAAGACUAGGCAGAGAAAUGUAAGGCUCUAACUCCAGGUGAUGAUGAUCCUUCUUUAGCUGUUGCUUAAUCCUUUAAACCAUAAUUGCUAAUUUAGGUCACUCAGCUGUAUGGCUUCUGAGAGUUGCAUUCGUAGGAAAAUAAUUCUGCCUGGGGAUGUUUAGAAGCCAGCAUGUCAAGGGUGGUGCUGAGGAUUGAGUGGUGUUAAUAGUAAGUUUUCUUCCUUUAUCUCCUUGUCUGUGAGCUGUAGUUCCUCCUUGCCUCACAGGGAGGGUGGAAGCAGUAGAGACCAGAAGGACGAGAUAUAAACCAGCUUUUUGGCUCAGACCUUUUCCUCUGAAGACACCUGCUUCCUGUGCAAAAUACUGAGGGCCCAGCCUAGGUGUUGAGGUUGUUGGCUUUGCUGCUCCAUCAGACUUCGGGGAGCUGCUUGUACAGUGAAGUAUUCAGUUGUGCCUGCAGUCUCCAGAGGAACACACAGCUAAGGAAGAGGAAGACCUGUGAGGAUGACAAGCUGAGGGAUGUCCAAGUGUUCAGGAAAAGAGAAUGUGGGCCUGGACCAUCCUUAUGGCCUCCGCAUAGAGAGUGCCACCUGGGAGGGCUUGCGGAGGAGGAUCCUGAUCAUGGUGUGAAGAGAUAUUUUCCUGAGCUGCCAUGACUUCUGGUUGCCUGCUGUGAGAAACUGGUACCAGCCAGCUCACUUAAGCUGAUGAAAAAGUCUGAGUUAGAGGAACCUGUUGACCUCUCAGAAGCAACCAGUACCUCCCAAACUCUAAUCAGCUGGUUCCAGGUGGAACAGGUUCACACAUUGGAGCAAGUUUUUUUUGAGAAGGUGGUUGUACUAAAACUACAUACAUACCCUGCUUGCUACUCUGUAAAACUGCCCUGAAUAUAUCAGUGUUUAAAGCAGAUACCUACUGAGUAAAUAUAGCCUGCCUGUGUAGAGAAAAAGUUAUUCAGACUUUUUACGGGAAGUAUGUUAUUCUUGUCAAGAAGUUAUGAAAUAAGAUGGAAAAGAUUUACUAAGUACCUGGAGGGAAAGUCACAAAUAUCCUGAAGGCCAAAUACUGCCUGAAGAUCAAGUUGUUAGUUUGAACUGAGCUUCUCAACUUAGUUUUCAUUCUCUAUGUCAUAUUUUUUGCUGUGUGUUUGGUUGACUCCAAGUCCAGUGUGCUGGUAAUGCCAUGUGCUCCAGUAGAGACAUAUGAAUUUGGAGUUGUGGUAUAAAAUCAUAGACUGUCCCAGGUUGGAGAGGUCACGCAAGGAUCAUCAAGUUCAACUCCUGGGUCUGCGUAGGACCACCCCAAAAUCAGAUCAUAUAUCUGAGAGCAUUGUCCAGAUGCUUCUUAAACUCUGGCAGCUCAGUGCCAUGACCACUUCCCUGGUAUCGAACCUGACUCUUCCCUGUAAAAGCUUCAUGCCAUUCCCUUGGGUUCUAUUACUGAACACUAGAGGGAGUACAUCAGUGCCUGCCUCUCUGCUCCCUCUCAUGAGGAAGCCAUAACCAUAUCAGCCCACCAAUCAGCUAGCUGUUUUAGCCCCAUUUUCACAGUGAUGUUUGAAUACCAAGGCCUAUACCACUGAUGCAGACAAGUUAAUUACCUGUAUCUUGUAAUAGUCUAUUGAUGUUUAACAGAUAAAGUGUCCCUUGUGCUGAAGAUGGAGCUUGCAGCUAUUUUGUUUUUAUUUCAUUACAAUUGAUAUGCAAGGAAAGAAAAGAAAUAUAAGCUAACUGUAGGCCAGUACUCUUGAUGCAUGCCCGGGUAGUUCACUGACCCACAACUAUGCUGGCAGAAGGAGAAGGUCAGAUCUGAUGCUGUAAGGGUUAAACAGUAAGGUUUGCUAAGUCAGACUUACAGAUGAGUUCAGAUGCAGUGGUUAGCAAUAAUGAAAAAAUGGGCUUGAUUGGCAAUCUCUCUAAUGCUUCUGGAUUAAUUGAACACACCCUUGUGUCAGCACAAGGAUUGAUGGGUAUAGGAUAGAAAUACACGGUCAUGUGAUUUUCCGUAGUUCAUGAUCAGAGGCCAGUUGUGGGGAAGAGUAUAUAAUACUAGUGAAACUGUCUUCCUUGAACUUGUAUUGGAAUAAGUUUUGUGUGUAACAGGCCAUACUGAGUCAUCUACAAAUAAUAUGAAAAUGCUUGCUAAGGGUUUUACUCAAUCUUUAGAAGUAAUUCAUACUCUGUAGUCCAAAAAUGUAAGAAGCUACAAGAACAUUUAAUUUUCCUAAGAAUGUCUUUCCUGAUAUAAUAUAAAAGUUUUCAUGUUGAAGCUCUGUUUUUUUUUCUCUCUAUUUUUGAUCAGUUUUGAGUGCCAAUUUUGUUUUAAAGUCAGAAAGCUCUUCAGAAGAUAGCUAACUCACCAACAUUUUUCCUAUUGUUAAGCUAAAUCAUACUCUGCAGACUUUCUGUGAAUAAUUAACUCCAGAACUUACUGUGCUGCUUAAAUGAGGCCUGUACUAGAAAGCGAAAUUAUUUGCACUAUGAGCAGGUUAAUUCAUUUUCCAUGCUGCAACACAUACUUAUAGGGGGAAUCAUUCUUCAAUGUCAUUUUAGCAAUAAUUUUUUGUAUGUCCAUAUGCCUCUUCUGAGAUGGAGCUGGUAAUCCAUCUCAUUAAAGAUUUAAAUACUUCUUUGAUGCUAAAACAUUUUUCUUAAUUCCAUAAAUAUCUGGUGGCACUUGUUCUAAAUUGAAGUGAGAUGUACUGUUUAAUAUGACAUAGUGAGUUCUGAACUCACAGCCAAUGAGCAAUGUCAAACCCUGCCUUUUUCCAAGCAAUUAAUUUGAUAAAUGUUCUUUAAUGCAAUGUGUAGGCCUAUUAGAAUACUUGUCAACAUUGCAGAGGCCCAGCAUAAUUUUUUUAUUUCUAUAGAUCGGUCUUUUAGAGAUAGUGGAUAACUUCUAAGAUUUUAUUUCAGAAACUUCUAGCAGACCUAAUCCCAGCAAAGCAUUGAAUGUAGUGCUAUGUAGUUCUAGAACUUAUCUGAGCAUUUAUCCCAUUUCUGUCUUGUCCCAAAUCCCCAACUACACUGACCUCUGCAAGGGCUGAAUCUUCAGGAUUACCUGAAAGGGGAUUAAAGAUAAACCAGUAACUGAAUUUCCACUUAGCCAACAUGUAGCACUCAACCAACCUUCUUUUGAGAGGUUCUCAUUAAUUUCUGUGAAUGCUGAAGUAUCUCAUCUCUUUCUCUUUUCAAAAGUAGACUAAGCGUUGUUCUUCUCUGUUACUCCAUUAUUCCAAAGUAAGGGGAGGAUGAUGGGCAAACUACUACUUUCAGAUUUCUUGGGAUGUGAUUUGUCCAGUCACCAGAGGAUACUUGCGUCUCAAGCCUCUUAAGAUAAAAUACGAUGUCAACAGAAGCAGUGUCAUUGCAGUAACUGUAUUUACAUACUAAUGAAUGCACAGUGCUUUUGCUUCAUGGUAAAAUUGAAGCUACAUUUUAAUUUAAUUUGAUCUGCUUGGUAUUGGUCAGAGGAAUAAAUGUAUCAGCUCUUCAUCAAGCAGAAAUGUAGCAGAAAUGAAUUUAAUUGCAUUUGAAUGCACUGAUUUUGUAUUUAUAUGAUUUUACCUGGAUCAGAAAUACAUGGAUUAUGUCACUGUCUAACUGCUGUCCUGUGUAAGGUGUAAGGACAAAUUGGAUUAAGGUAAUGUAUGUAAAAUACAAGACAAAUGUUAUUUCAAAUACAGGCUGAUAUUUAUUGAGACAUUGCAGAGUCACCAUUAGAUUUAAUUCAAUAUAAAGGACUUUAUAGAAGCAGCAGCAGCGGCAACUUUUGCAGUGCUGCUACUGUUGCUGUGGGGAUUUUGUCAAUGUUAUGAAACUUUUAGGAAAUUUCCAGAACUUUUGCCAAGGAAAAGAAAAUACUGGAGCUCUCAACUUAUGGUGUUGAAAAGAUGAAAACAAAUAGGAAUUGGCAACUUUUUUACAAAGCAAUCUUGUACUUCAGCUGAAAAGAGUGCUAAUAUAUUUCAGUGUGUGCUAAGCAUGCUAUAUAAAAGUAAUGUUAACUUGUAAUCUAUUAUAUGUUAGGUAUUAUGGAGAGCAAAUUGAAAUGACUUCCUUUUAAACAUCAGAUCAGAUAAAGAGAAUAUUUCAGAUGUAUCCAUUUGACAUGCUGUGAAAACAAAACCUAUGGGGGCUGUUUUAAUGUUUUUUCAGUGUAUCAUCUGUGUAGAAUACGAGACAUCACCUCAACAAGUAUUACCAUCUGUCAGUUCUAGAUGCGCUUCCACAUGGAGAUUCAUGAAGCUCAUACCUUCUGGCAGUACUGUAGUCUUGGCCUUCAUGGAAGUUUCUAGAUAAGUUUUUUUCUUUACACUUUUUUUUUUUUAGUGACAAUAAAACAUUUGCUGAUAUGACAUAAAGGACAUGUUUCUGAGUGCAUACUCCCAAAUGAAUAAAUGUGAACUCAAUACGUAUGGCAUGCUUUUUUUCCAGCAGAUAAAACAACUUCUGUUCUAUUUAAUUCACCAGGAGGUCACAGCCUUCCCUCCAGACUUAUCUUGUGAUGCACAUUGACCAGAUACACGUCUAGCAUUGAUACACAUGUGCAAUGGUUGGUGGAUGUCUAGAGACGUAUCUUCAGGCUGUGCCAGUGCUGCUGGUAUUGUAUAUUAUUAAUCUGAUAAUAAUAGAGCUGGAAGAAGGUAAAACAUAUGAGAAAUUAACUUGUGACUUUUGUUGCAAAUUGAAAGAAUUGCCCCCAAAGAGUCCUUGUUUUGAAGAAAACUGAACACUGCUUAACCUUUUGCUGCCAGUCCCUGCUGAAAUCAAGAUUAGAACAUCUGUUCUGUCCUGCCUCUAGUUGGAAAUUCUGGACAAUGGAACAACCAGAUACAUUCAUGUAUACUAAACAUUAAAGACUGAUUUACACGCUCUUUUCUUGUUGGAUAUUCAUUAUUUUUAAUGCAGUUAAAAUGAUCUGUAAAUACAUCAUGCAAUGAUUUCCUGUCAGAAUUUUUUUCUGGAGGAGUGAUGGAAACUGAGCAGCUGUAAUGGAUUGUCAGCACAGCGUUUGAAUGCCAGCCAGCUGACAAAAGUGUCCAAAUAUACCUCUCUUUGAUGACACAAUGGUAAGUAUUGGUGAUAAUAGUUGUUUCCUUUGGGGAAAUGUAAGGUGAAGAGUUUAGGUAGGAUUUUUGUAGAUUAAUUUUCUAAGAGUGAGAAAUCUAACUUAAAGGACUCAUUUGGGCUGUUGUUUUUUCUCAUCAAAAACAUCUCAGAAAAUAUCUCCUCAGGCUGUAUGUCCCAGCCUGAGAGAGUGGAGUAUAUGUGACUUGAGUAGCUGGUUAAACAUACCCACUUCUCUCUGUAGUUUGUCAGAAGAAACCUGGGUAGCUAGUUUAGAUUAGAUCUGAAUGUGAAGAAUUGAAGUGAGAGAACAUGAAUCUUUUUGUCUUUAAAUUGUAUUUGAACAUAGGUGUGAAUUUUCACAAUUCUAAGAUCUUGUGGGAAAUGUGGGAAUGAGAUACACAUGAACAAAAUAUUCCUGCUGAUUUUGUUGCCUCCCACUUGUAUCAGGGGGAGACGGUGGGAAAAAGUAUGUCCGAAUUUUUGAGGGCAUUUUGCACCUUUGAGAUGAUGGUGUUUUACAGAUUCUUCAUGAAAUAGCAAACUUUAUAGCUAACAGAUAUUUCUAAAGCAUGAUUGAGGCCAGAGAGUAUCUAAGGCAGAACUCUCUCUUGUGAGAUUUCGAUUCCUUAUCUUUCGCCUAGUGAAGUACGUCACAAUUUGAUUUUAAAUUUCUCUGCCUGUGAGGGGGAACACUGAUAGGAACCAGAGUGAGAUAUGGUGCUCUGUGUGUGUUUUAAUCUCCCAUGUGCCUUUUGAAGGCAGAUUAAUAAUUUCCAUGAUCAUUUAUAUUAAUAAAAUUCUGGAAAAGUAUGUUGGUAAAUGACUUCUCUCUUUUUCAUAAAAGUUCUUGACAUCUGAAGAAUUCCUUUGGUAACUAGCAGAAAAAUUGCAUAGGAAACAAUAGAAGCACGGAGGAGUUGGCACUGAUAAACCAGAUGCAGUGACUGCAAGAAUCAUGUCUGUGUGCGUGUGCUGUAAGUGUCUCAUUAGAUCUUAACACUCAUCCUGUUUCUGUGACCUCCGGUGACAUUGCUCAUAGCACAUUAUUAGUUUUUAUGUUACUGUGGUGAAAUGUAUGUCCUUAGAAAAGUUAUUUAAAACACAGCAUGCAGCUUCCAGUUUUUAAUCUAUUCUUAGACUAUUUAAAUCAAUCCUCAGUUUGAACACUAGCAGUAUUUGGGAAAGCAGAUGCAUUUUAUUUGUGGUGCGGAUGUGCCUCGUAGUUUUCUUAUUUCUAAGAAUAAGGUCUGCAGUAUGUUUCUUACGCAAAUUAUGAAAGAAGUUUACGGUGUUCUUAGUCUUAUUUGUGCACUUCAGAGUCUUCUCAUUAUGACUGGAGUCAACAUACACAUGUCCUUGGCUAUUCAAAUAAAUGAAUGUCUAGGCUGGAAUAAUCUGCACGUGGAUGAAAAAGAGAGGAAGGUUAAAAGCUAAAUGAGACUGCUCAGAAGAUUUACAAUCAGCUGUGAAAGAUGUUUCCCUGCACUAAAGCUAAUCAAGACAGUGAAUUUUCAUGUUUGUCUUGUAUUACAGAGGAAAUUGAAUCAGACCACUCUGGGGGAUUCCUUUAUUAUUUGGUAUUCACACAUUGGCACCCACACUUUCUCAGCUGCCGGCAAUAAGAUAACGUCAAUGCACAUAUGGUAACGAGGCUUCCUGCAAGGAAGUGAAGAAGCAACAUUUCCCGACAACCCCCAAAUGGAUGUUAUCUAAUGAAAAAAGUUCCAGCACUUCAAUAUCAAAUGUGUUUCUUCCCUAUCUGUAGGGUGGUCCAAUUUUGUUAGCUACAAGGGACAGAUUUGGAUUUUAGAAUGCCUUGUGGGCUGUGUUUGGGUCUUACUGCUGAGAGUGGGAAAAGUGACACAAAGAGCUGAGUUGCACUGCUGGGAUGUGGAUGGAGUCAUAUGUGUGGCUAGGGGCAAGAGGUGAAGGCUUUUCUCCUGUAACACCUGUCACACUGUGCUGUGAGGUCUACCAUGGCUGAUGACAAAUCAGGAGGCAUUUGUGUACAAACCAAGCUCAUGGGGCAAGAUGCCUUCCUUCUCCUUGGGUACUAGUGAGCAAGCCACAGCUGCUAGGUGGACCAUGCACUUUUAAAUCAAGGAGAACUAGAAAACAUACACAAUGCUAUGUCCUUCUUUAGGCAUAAGCCUGUUUUCUACUGUUGUCUCUCUCUUUUUUUUUUUUUAUUUUGGAGAAGUACACAAAUAAUAAGAGAUCUUUAUAAGAGCCUUGCUCUAGCUGAAGGAAGAGAUUACAAAACCAUAAUUCAGCUGAAAUUUCAGUGCAGAGGUCCAGUGCAGUUAAAUCUGUCUCAGGUCAUCUAAUUUAAAAGUAAUUCUUGGUUUGGAUUAACUUGACCCAGUACUGUAACAUCAUGUUUUGGUCAUUAAUACUUAUUCCAUCAAUUCUUUUCUAGAACCUCAAGUUUAAUAAACUACAUGCCAAUCAUUCAAUUUUCAGGAGUUACAAAAAGUUUAAAUCAGCAAAAAAAGACUAUUCAGCAAUUUCUGGCACAUGGGAACAUCAUAGAUUAACUGUCCUGCUUUUAUUAGAUCAAGGAUAGAUAAUUAGGACUUUUUUUUUCCUGAAAAAAGAAAAUGAAAUAUUGAUCUUUAAAUAUUUUCCAGAUUACAUGAAACUAUAGUUUUCUUAGAUCAUCUGGGAACAGGAGAAAAAAAAAGGCCAAAAAACCUACAAGCACCUCCCCUCACCACCAAAAAAAAAACCCAGACAAGCAAAAAAAAAAAAAAAAAAAAAAAAAAAAAAAAAAACCAAAAAACUUUAUCACAGACAGGUACUUAAUACAUGCAUUUUUUAAAAAAAGCAAUGCCAUUAGCCUUCUCCACUGUAAAUUACCUAUCUAAAGUUGGCAGAAUUUCAUUAGAAUGCAUGAAGUCCUUGCUACCCCACAGAGGAGAUGUUCCCAGGUGUUCUCCAUAAGGCCGUCUCCCUGUGGGUGGGUGAGAUGGCACUUGAACCUAGGAGCCAGGAGAGGAAGGCUUUACUGUUGCUUCAGUGGCUUGCUGAGUAUUGCCUUUUGUUCUUUGUCUCUCCUGCAGUAACAAAGGCAAAGUUUGCUGUCUCUGUUUUCUGAUGGGACAGAAGCUUCUGUCUGCUUAUUACAUGUGCAGCGAAGAAGAGCAUGGUAAGCAGGUGCUCACUUACUGAUCUCUCCAGCACCUGGGGAAAAUAGAGAAGUAGACAGGAGCUCCUUGGUAGCGACUGUGCAUUUCUUACUGAGAAAACUUCUAGGAGAAAUCCCCCAUAUCUUGAAGAUAUGGUCAUGUUUACGUUGCUGUUGUAUGCAUAAGAAUGUUCUGGUAAAUGAUGUUGUGUGACUCUAUGCCCCCCUCCUCCUCACCUUCCACCUCAGCCAGUCUGCUUCAUGUGAGGCCUUGCUCAGGCAGACAACGAGCACAGUACUGAUAAAAAUACAAGUCUCUUUAAGACAGAUAAGAACUACAAAUCUGUCUCAAGCUGGGUGAUGAAAGAACUGAUGGCAGACACCUGGUUCAACAGCUGAGGUCCAUUAGAGCAGGUGCCGAAACUACCAGUAUGAAUCAACCACCUUACCUCAUAAAUAGUGAGCAGGCCCAGAGACCUCUGGGCUCUCCUGCUGGGCAGCUAUUUGUGCGAUGGGAUCUCUCCUGAAGAUGGAAGAAUAAGAAUUCAACAGGAAACAGCAGAACUGUGUUACAUGUGGAGGUCUCACACUUCAUAUUGUAUCAACAGAAGAAAUUGAAAAACAGCCCAUAGAACAACAGUGACCUUCUUUCUUACCAACCAUAAAAGCUAUAAUUGCCUGUAGUGGUUGAGAAGAACAGGGCAUGAUCUGUGUGCACUGCUGCUUUCAGCUGUGGUGGAAGCCAUUCACUGUAUCUUCUCAGUGAGAACUUUGGAACUUCUAGAAAAGAACAAAGGGGGAAAGAAGAAAGGAUGCUCACCACACUGUUUUGUGAAUGAAUAUUGUCAUCUCAGUAGUUCAGUGCUAGCUCUCUUGACAUUAGGAAACAAAUGUAUUUGAAAGUGGUGCUUGUUGCUUAUUACAAUACUAGGAAGAAUAACUGCAACAUUUUAACAAAUAGGUUGAAAAGGUGAACUCUGAAGGGAGAUGAAGGGUUUUUUUGGUAAUUUGGAAGAAUUGUGGUAGUGGGGUAGCAAUACAGGCUGUCUGUUUUUCUUUGUGGUUCUCCUUCUUCAGGCAAGAGGUAGAUAAGGCCUGUCUCUGAGAAAAUAAUGCACAGUAGAUGCUAAAUGCUAUAGAAAAGGCAAUGUGAGGGAUAUCAAAGGAUAUAAUCACCUGUAGGAUAUUUAAACAAGCUUUCUGAAGAAACUAGAUAUUUACCUGUGGAGAAUGCUUUUGGAGGUGAGAGUAAGCAGCUGAACAAGCGGUCUUAGUUGUCUGAGAUCCUAUAUCUUAGGUUCUGCCUAACAGUGUUUAUAGUAGCUUAGUAAGCAGGAUCCCUCUUUUUGAGAUGGUGAGGGACAGUUUUAACUGCCAGGUGCAACUUGUUGAGAGGAAGUCUAUGGUGAGCACACUUGGCUUUGUAAUGGUGACAGUUUGUCUGAUCUUGGUGUUUUCUGUUUAUUUCUUUUAAAGUGAUGUUUCAGGGAGCUUUGAAGAGCUAAAUAGAACUGCCCUUAUUACAGUUGCAGUACCUGCUUUUACAGAGAUUUAUAGACACUUGUGUCAGACUUAUCCUUUGAUUUUCUUCAGCAUAUACUGUUGCACAUUUGCAUGCAUUUGAAAUACCCACUACACAUAACAUAUUUGUCUAUCUCUUUAGUUCCUUACUAACUCUCUCCUAGCAGAGUUAUUAUUCUCUAGGAUAUUCUAAACGGUGUAUUUAAAUGAAAAGUAGUAAUCCCAACUGGCAGACUUUUGAAGAGAGGGAUUGAAACGUGGAAACAGAGAUACUCAUAUUGUCUGGGUCAAACUUUAUACUGUUAAUAUAUUUGCUUAUUUUUAGGCUAGUUGUGCUGAUUGUACAUUGGCCAAAUCAUUGUGUAAAAUUGUCUUUUAGCUAGGUUUUGCAAUCUGGUUGCAGUCAUAAAAACACAGACAAAGUAACAGUGUCUUGAGUAUACAGUGUGUUCUCAACAGCUCUGGGAGAUUUUUUGUUAUUAAUCAGUCUUUGUCUCUUCAUUCAGUGAACUAUAUUUUCAGCUGUACUUGCCCACAGAAUGCCUCUUUGCAACCAUCAUUCUAGAAAGUACAAGUCAAAGUUCAUAGAAUUCUUUUGCUUGUAGAUUUGUACGAUGUAUUAAUUUCAUUUUCCACUUAUAUCCAGACUCUGUUCUUUGUUGAAAAAUCAGCCCUGUAGGUCCAUCCUCACUGCUGAUUAUGGAUAAAAAUAAGGAUUGCCUAGUAGAGAAGUAUUUUACAGGAAACUAUAGGAAUAUGUAAUGGAUAAUAAUAAUAAUAAUAAUGGAUAGUAAUAACUUCCUCACUGUUCUCAAAUGCAUUCAAAAACUGAGUAUUUUUUCCUCUGCAAGUAAUACAAGAAUUCAAAACAGUUCAAUUCUUUUAAAAUAAUAUCUAGAACUGUUAGGUCAUGCUUCUUUAAGAGUAUU